GACGAACGCUGGCGGCGUGCUUAACACAUGCAAGUCGAACGCUGAAGCUCAGCUUUUGUUGGGUGGAUGAGUGGUGAACGGGUGAGUAGCACGUGAGUAACCUGCCUCCUUCUUUGGGAUAACGCCCGGAAACGGGUGCUAAUACUGGAUAUUCACUGGUCUUCGCAUGGGGGUUGGUGGAAAGGGUUUUUCUGGUGGGGGAUGGGCUCGCGGCCUAUCAGCUUGUUGGUGGGGUGAUGGCCUACCAAGGCUUUGACGGGUAGCCGGCCUGAGAGGGUGACCGGUCACAUUGGGACUGAGAUACGGCCCAGACUCCUACGGGAGGCAGCAGUGGGGAAUAUUGCACAAUGGGCGCAAGCCUGAUGCAGCGACGCCGCGUGAGGGAUGGAGGCCUUCGGGUUGUGAACCUCUUUCGCUCAUGGUCAAGCCGCAACAAUGGUUGUGGUGAGGGUAGUGGGUAAAGAAGCGCCGGCUAACUACGUG
rnacentral:rRNA from 1 species